GUCACUAUUACACGGAAGGGAAUUUCCCCUAUAAAAUCGUUGCCAGUUGAACGUUGGUCUCACUGCCUGGCUCUUCUACAGAAGAGAAACAUCAGAGCAAGGUAACGAUCUAAAAUGGCAUCCUUCAUUAAGGUGGCUUACGUUCUAAUCGUGUUGAGCAUUGCAGCAGAUUUCAUUAAUCUGAAACGCAACUGGUUUGACACCGAACGAAAUGGUGAAGGGCUGGCUGUCCAUUCCUCCUCGCUGUUUCUUCCUGGAGCUAAUGGCUGGCUAAGCGUUGCGAAAACUAUUGGGAGAGCUGCC